CUACUGGGGUAUCUAAUCCUGUUUGCUCCCCACGCUUUCGCAUCUGAGUGUCAGUAUCUGUCCAGGGGGCCGCCUUCGCCACCGGUAUUCCUUCAGAUCUCUACGCAUUUCACCGCUACACCUGAAAUUCUACCCCCCUCUACAGUACUCUAGAUGACCAGUUUCAAAUGCAAUUCCGAGGUUGAGCCCCGGGCUUUCACAUCUGACUUAAUCAUCCACCUGCAUGCGCUUUACGCCCAGUAAUUCCGAUUAACGCUCGCACCCUCCGUAUUACCGCGGCGGCUGGCAC
rnacentral:rRNA from 1 species